UGGCUCUCGCAACGAUGAAGAACGCAGCGAAAUGCGAUACGUAGUGUGAAUUGCAGAAUUCCGUGAAUCAUCGAAUCUUUGAACGCACAUUGCACUCUGUUUUGCAGAGUAUGCCUGUUUGAGAAUCUAAAACACAUUCAUCAAUAAUUUAUUUGGAUUUAUUUAUUUCAAGUCCAAUUAAAAUUGCUGAGAUAUGGACACUUUUCCGGCUGAGAAGCCAGAAAUUGUCUGCAAGGCAUUGCUCAAACGACCUCAAUGAUGAUGUCUGGAAGGCAAAAGUGUAUGAAGGGUUCGCCCACGUCCUUUUGUGUUGGAAAGACGUAGUUGAAUGAUUGGAAGAGCGCGCGACUCCACAUUGCUAGCGCAGUGGGGGAGAUCACACUUUUUUUUAUCUUGGUCUCAAAUCAGGUAGGAAGACCCGCUGA
rnacentral:misc_RNA from 1 species